GACAGAGGGUGCAAACGUUGCUCGGAAUUACUGGGCGUAAAGCGCGUGUAGGCGGACUGGUGUGUCGGAUGUGAAAUCCCCAGGCUCAACCGUGGAACUGCAUUCGAAACUGCCAGCCUUGAGUGGUGGAGAGGGAAGUGGAAUUCCUGGUGUAGAGGUGAAAUUCGUAGAUAUCAGGAGGAACACCAGUGGCGAAGGCGGCUCACUGGCUCGUAACUGACGCUCAUGCACGACAGCGUGGGGAUCAAACAGG
rnacentral:rRNA from 1 species